rnacentral:rRNA from 1 species
GGAAUCGCUAGUAAUCGUGGAUCAGAAUGCCACGGUGAAUACGUUCCCGGGCCUUGUACACACCGCCCGUCACACCAUGGGAGUGGGCUGCACCAGAAGUAGAUAGCUUAACCUUCGGGGGGGCGUUUACCACGGUGUGGUUCAUGACUGGGGUGAAGUCGUAACAAGGUAGCCCUAGGGGAACCUGGGGCUGGAUCACCUCCUUA